rnacentral:rRNA from 1 species
CAGCCGUAAACUAUGCGCGUUAGGUGUACUGGUGACCACGAGUCACCGGGUGCCGAAGGGAAACCGUGAAACGUGCCGCCUGGGAAGUACGGUCGCAAGGCUGAAACUUAAAGGAAUUGGCGGGGGGAGCACCACAACAGGUGGAGCCUGCGGUUUAAUUGGACUCAACGCCGGGAAGCUCACCGGAUAGGACAGCAGAAUGAUUGCCGGGCUGAAGACCCUGCAUGACUAGCUGAGAGGAGGUGCAUGGCGUCAGUGACU